UACGUAGGGUGCAAGCGUUAUCCGGAAUUAUUGGGCGUAAAGAGCUCGUAGGCGGUUUGUCGCGUCUGCUGUGAAAACUGGAGGCUCAACCUCCAGCCUGCAGUGGGUACGGGCAGACUAGAGUGCGGUAGGGGAGAUUGGAAUUCCUGGUGUAGCGGUGGAAUGCGCAGAUAUCAGGAGGAACACCGGUGGCGAAGGCGGUUCUCUGGGCCUUACCUGACGCUGAGGAGCGAAAGCGUGGGGAGCAAACAGG
rnacentral:rRNA from 1 species